UCAAGUAAUUAAGUGCAUGUGGUGGAUGCCUUGGCAGUCAGAGGCGAUGAAAGACGUGAUAGCCUGCGAAAAGCUCCGGGGAGGCGGCAAAUAUCCUUUGAUCCGGAGAUGUCUGAAUGGGGGAACCCACCUACUUUAAGGUAGGUAUUGCAACAUGAAUACAUAGUGUUGCAAGGCGAACGAGGGGAAGUGAAACAUCUCAGUACCCUUAGGAAAAGAAAUCAAUUGAGAUUCCCUCAGUAGCGGCGAGCGAACGGGGAUCAGCCCAUUAAGUUAUGUGUGUUUUAGUGGAACGCUCUGGGAAGUGCGAACGUAGAGGGUGAUAUUCCCGUACACGAAAGGGCACACAUAAUGAUGACGAGUAGGGCGAGGCACGUGAAACCUUGUCUGAAUAUGGGGGGACCAUCCUCCAAGGCUAAAUACUCCUGACUGACCGAUAGUGAACCAGUACCGUGAGGGAAAGGCGAAAAGAACCCCUGUGAGGGGAGUGAAAUAGAUCCUGAAACCGCAUGCAUACAAGCAGUGGGAGCACCUUCGUGGUGUGACUGCGUACCUUUUGUAUAAUGGGUCAGCGACUUAUAUUCAGUAGCGAGGUUAACCGUAUAGGGGAGCCGUAGAGAAAUCGAGUCUUAAUAGGGCGUUUAGUUGCUGGGUAUAGACCCGAAACCAGGCGAUCUAUCCAUGAGCAGGUUGAAGGUUGGGUAACACUAACUGGAGGACCGAACCCACUGUCGUUGAAAAGCCAGGGGAUGACUUGUGGAUAGGGGUGAAAGGCUAAUCAAGCCUGGUGAUAGCUGGUUCUCCCCGAAAGCUAUUUAGGUAGCGCCUCGGACGAAUACCAUAGGGGGUAGAGCACUGUUUCGGCUAGGGGGUCAUCCCGACUUACCAAACCGAUGCAAACUCCGAAUACCUAUGAGUACUAUCCGGGAGACAGACUGCGGGUGCUAACGUCCGUAGUCAAGAGGAAAACAAUCCAGACCGCCAGCUAAGGCCCCAAAAUCAUAGUUAAGUGGGAAACGAUGUGGGAAGGCAUAGACAGCUAGGAGGUUGGCUUAGAAGCAGCCACCCUUUAAAGAAAGCGUAAUAGCUCACUAGUCGAGUCGGCCUGCGCGGAAGAUGUAACGGGGCUAAAACUAUGUGCCGAAGCUGCGGAUGUAUACUUUGUAUACGUGGUAGGGGAGCGUUCUGUAAGCCGAUGAAGGUGUGUUGAGAAGCAUGCUGGAGGUAUCAGAAGUGCGAAUGCUGACGUGAGUAACGACAAAACGGGUGAAAAACCCGUUCGCCGAAAGACCAAGGGUUCCAGUCCAACGUUAAUCGGGGCUGGGUGAGUCGACCCCUAAGGCGAGGCCGAAAGGCGUAGUCGAUGGGAAAAUGGUUAAUAUUCCAUUACUUCUGUGUAAUGCGAUGAGAGGACGGAGAAGGCUAAAUCAGCCUGGCGUUGGUUGUCCAGGUGAAAGGAUGUAGGCAUGUAUCUUAGGCAAAUCCGGGGUACUCUAUGCUGAGAUCUGAUAGCAAGCUGUACUUGUACAGCGAAGUGGUUGAUGCCAUGCUUCCAGGAAAAGUCUCUAAGCUUCAGUUACACAGGAAUCGUACCCGAAACCGACACAGGUGGUCAGGUCGAGUAGACCAAGGCGCUUGAGAGAACUCUGCUGAAGGAACUAGGCAAAAUGGUACCGUAACUUCGGGAGAAGGUACGCUGUUGUUGGUGAUGGAACUUGCUUCCUGAGCUGACGACAGCCGCAGAAACCAGGCCGCUGCAACUGUUUAUUAAAAACAUAGCACUCUGCAAACACGAAAGUGGACGUAUAGGGUGUGAUGCCUGCCCGGUGCUGGAAGGUUAAUUGAUGGGGUUAGCGUAAGCGAAGCUCUUGAUCGAAGCCCCAGUAAACGGCGGCCGUAACUAUAACGGUCCUAAGGUAGCGAAAUUCCUUGUCGGGUAAGUUCCGACCUGCACGAAUGGCAUAAUGAUGGCGGCGCUGUCUCCAGCAGAGGCUCAGUGAAAUCGAAAUCGCUGUGAAGAUGCAGUGUACCCGCGGCUAGACGGAAAGACCCCGUGAACCUUUACUGCAGCUUGACACUGAACUUUGACCUUACUUGUGUAGGAUAGGUGGGAGGCUUUGAAGCUGGAACGCUAGUUCCAGUGGAGCCGUCCUUGAAAUACCACCCUGGUAAUGUUGAGGUUCUAACUCUGUCCCGUGAUCCGGGACGAGGACCGUGUCUGGUGGGUAGUUUGACUGGGGCGGUCUCCUCCUAAAGAGUAACGGAGGAGUACGAAGGUGCGCUCAGCGUGGUCGGAAAUCACGCGUAGAGUAUAAAGGCAAAAGCGCGCUUAACUGCGAGACCCACAAGUCGAGCAGGUACGAAAGUAGGUCUUAGUGAUCCGGUGGUUCUGUAUGGAAGGGCCAUCGCUCAACGGAUAAAAGGUACUCUGGGGAUAACAGGCUGAUACCGCCCAAGAGUUCAUAUCGACGGCGGUGUUUGGCACCUCGAUGUCGGCUCAUCUCAUCCUGGG
rnacentral:rRNA from 1 species